rnacentral:tRNA from 1 species
GCCUCCUUAGCUCAAUUGGUUAGAGCAACUGACUCUUAAUCAGUAGGUUCUCGGUUCGAUUCCGAGAGGGGGCA